AAAGGAGAAUCUGGUAGGUCACCAGCGAAGAGGAUGAAGCUAAGAAAGGAAGGUGGGUCAAGGGAGCCUCUACACUGAGGCAACUGACCCGGCUCAUCCUUCUCACUGGUUCUGCCCACCAGCUGACAUGCUACUUCUCCUGGCACCAGCCAGGCCCGGGGCACUUCAAGCCUGGCAUGACCCCUUCCUCUGUACUCACCCAACUUAUGCCAUUGCUGAGAGAUGUGGGAAAUGAGAUGGCACCAUUAAAUGAAAGGAUGUAACUCUCUGCCAAACUCUGCUUGAACUGAAAAACAAGAGUCAUGUGAAAACUCUUCCGGCUGUUGGCAGCUGGGAUUUCGGAGCCGCUCCAGGAACUUUU